rnacentral:rRNA from 1 species
AGCGAACGCUGGCGGCAGGCCUAACACAUGCAAGUCGAACGAACUCUUCGGAGUUAGUGGCGGACGGGUGAGUAACACGUGGGAACGUGCCUUUAGGUUCGGAAUAACUCAGGGAAACUUGUGCUAAUACCGAAUGUGCCCUUCGGGGGAAAGAUUUAUCGCCUUUAGAGCGGCCCGCGUCUGAUUAGCUAGUUGGUGAGGUAAUGGCUCACCAAGGCGACGAUCAGUAGCUGGUCUGAGAGGAUGAUCAGCCACAUUGGGACUAAGACACGGCCCAAACUCCUACGCGAGGCAGCAGUGGGGAAUCUUGCGAAAUGGGCGAAAGCCUGACGCAGCCAUGACGCGUGAAUGAUGAAGGUCUUAGGAUUGUAAAAUUCUUUCACCGGGGACGAUAAUGACGGUACCCGGAGAAGAAGCCCCGGCUAACUUCGUG